AUGCCAUGGUGAGGGCAAUUGGCGCAAAGCAUCUUGAAUCUAUCCCAUGCUUGGUAAAAAUUUUCAUCUUUUUGUUAUUGAAAAGCAGCAAUUCGUUGUCUUGCUU
rnacentral:snoRNA from 1 species